AUGGUGCUAUCCAAAGGAAGAGCACACGCCACCCUUCGAACUGCAGCUUCUAGUUCACCACAAACGUCCCGGGCAGCGGGCAAGGUCAGCUGUUUCCCAACAGUGUCAGUCACGCGGCCAGCCACCGAGGAGGACGCGCUCACGGCAGUCAUCUUUGAUGAAGUGGUAGCUCUCUGUAAUCGCACCUCUUGUCUACUUGUUGAGAAACAGUCCUCCUAAGGCCCACCUUUCUACAAACACCCUGCGGGACUGACUGACAAAUGAUGGCCGUGUUUUGCACAGAUACCCUGAAGAGACUCGCACGUUGGAGAACUUUUAUGAAAAAGCAACAGGAGCCCUCAGACACAUUAGGCUUCACUGCGACUUGACCUUACCUGUCCCUCUAUUCCAAGUGCAUCCACUCCAGCCUGCACAGAGUCCUCUUGUGAGGGCCGCUGAUCUUUACAAAAAUCUUCCCAGGUAGUUCAGGAAAAGACAAUGCAAACCAUUAAUAAACAUAGGAAUAAUAAACAGUUGCUCUCAUCAGUAAUUAAAGAACAACAAACAAACAAAACAGAGAUUGCUUUUUGGCAUGUGUGAAUUAAUUUGAGAAAAGCCUUUAAUAAUUAUGGUGCUAGUGUUCCAGUUAGAAAUGUUUUAGGAUGCAAUAACAACACCCCACCAAAACCAAACGUUUUAAACCAUUUGUGCAAUAUAUUAUUUCAUAGAAAAGAACUCCCGAGCAGAGACAGCCACUGAGUCGAUUAAGAGGUCCAACUACGCACCUUCCCCUCUUGCCGGCUUCCUCCUCGGGCUGGCCUAGUUCUUGGAUUGCGUGCAGAUGUGGCAAUGUCCAGCGAAAGGAGGGAGACUGUUUCUUUCUGUGUCUUUGUAAGAAAAUAAAGUUUGAGCCAGUAAACUGUGU
rnacentral:lncRNA from 1 species